UAUCUUAACAAUCAUGACAACUAACCAUGGCAUCUAAUCAUAUCUCUAAGAUGUAAAAAUAUAAUCAUACAAUAUGAUUAUAACAUAAUAUCUUAGCAUAUCAUAUACAUGAAUAUAAAAUACUCUUUUCAUGGUUCUUCUUCUUGGGACAUCACAGUAGCACCCCUACAUGCCAUAAGAGUAUCCCAUGGAAUGGAAAGAAAGGGUCUAUGAAUCUUACUUGC
rnacentral:lncRNA from 1 species